AACUCCCUGCUCUGCGGGUCUCGGGCUGCCCCGGGCCCCGCACUGGGGAGGCAGGGGAGAGGCAAGGAGAACUUUCUUUCUCUCCUGAGUGAGUUCUCAUCUCCUCCCACCCCAAGACAGUCAAGAUUUUGGGUGGGAGCAUAGCAACGGCAUUGGGCUUGCUUUUUCUAAAUCUUAAAAGAUUUUGGGCCGAGUGGGGACGUGGCGGCUACCAGAUGCCCACCUGUCGGAGGCCACCAGGCUGCCCUGUCCUGGGGCGACCCCACUCCUCACAGUACCAGGACCUGAGGUCGCUCCCGAGACCAGAGACAGCACAAACAACUCUUCCGGAGAGGCCUUCCCAAGCCUCCGGCUGUGACUCCCAGGAUGGCUCCAGUUCCAGCCCCGCUUCCCACCCCAGCCUCUGAGCCUCCAGCUGUGACUCCCCCAAGAUGGCUCCAGUUCCAGCCCUGCUUCCCACCCCAGCCUCUGAGCCUCCGGCUGUGACUCCCAGGAUGGCUCCAGUUCCAGCCCUGCUUCCCACCCCAGCGUCUGAGCCUGCUUCCUGGACCACAGCUUCCUGCCCCGGCCUGUCUGAAACGCAAGCAUUCCCAGAAGGACCGCAGGUACUUGAAGGAGCUUUUCAGUGAUUCUCAGAAUCACCAGUCUACACUUUGCAAAAACAAAAAUAAAAAUGCCAAGGUCAUGGAAAACAGUGAGAAGAACAGAACAAACACCA